UACGUAGGUGGCGAGCGUUGUCCGGAUUUACUGGGCGUAAAGAGCGCGCAGGCGGUCGUGCAAGUCGCGUGUGAAAGCCCCCGGCUCAACUGGGGAGGGUCACGCGAUACUGCUCGACUUGAAGGCAGGAGAGGGAAGUGGAAUUCCCGGUGUAGUGGUGAAAUGCGUAGAUAUCAGGAGGAACACCGGUGGCGAAGGCGGAUCUCUGGGCCGAUACUGACGCUGAGGAGCGAAAGCGUGGGGAGCGAACAGG
rnacentral:rRNA from 1 species